rnacentral:lncRNA from 1 species
GAGAAGGAAUCAGAUUCUGCAUAUAUUUCCAAGUUAACAUGAACAAGAUUUUCUGAAAGACUGCUAUGGAGUCUGAGAAAAAAUGUCAAAGGUAGUGCCAAAAUUGUCACUUAAAGAACUGCAGGAAUGGAGUUGGCAUUUACAGAAUUUGGAAGAGAAGCAGGUUUAGUGAUAAAGACCAGAAGCACAGAGCUAAGCAUAUUAAAUGUGAGUUGUCUAUUAGGCAUUCAAGAAGACAUAUAGAGUGGGCAGUGGCUAUAUGAGGCUAGAGUUCUGGGAAGGCUGGGCUGAUGACAGAAAUGUAUUGGUCAUUAACAUUUAUGUGUGUGUGUACACAUAUGCACAUGAACACUGGAUAUGCGAAUGCACAGAUUGAGGACAUGAAGAGGAAAGAACUGACAGAGGAGGUGAAGAAAGGUGAUCAGGAAGAGCCAUCAAAGUGUUAUCCUGGAAUUCAAGUGAAGACAGUGUUUCAAAGUGGAAAUGAACAGUGUCCUGUAACCCUCAGAGUGAGACUAGAGUCAGAAUGCAAGCUUUUCUCAUUUGAAAUCUAUUGAAUAAACAUCAGUAAAAGAAGCAAUCCAAGUUCUCAUGCCAAAUAUGUAUAUGUCCAAGACCAGGAUUUCUUCAUGUCUGAAUGUGGAUAUGGAGCCUAGAGUACUAGCAGGGUAAGUCCAGGUCCUUACCUCCACCUAAAAGUUCUGCCAUCAAGGAACAUCUGCUCAUUAUCUUCUGUC